rnacentral:rRNA from 1 species
UGGCGGCGUGCCUAACACAUGCAAGUCGAACGAGAAAGUGGAGCAAUCCAUGAGUAAAGUGGCGACCGGGUGAGUAACACGUGACUAACCUACCUUUCAGUGGGGAAUAACCUCGGGAAACCGGGGCUAAUACCGCAUAAUGUCUUCGGACCAAAGGAGCAAUUCGCUGGAAGAGGGGGUCGCGGCCGAUUAGCUAGUUGGUGAGGUAAUGGCCCACCAAGGCAAUGAUCGGUAGCCGGCCUGAGAGGGCGCACGGCCACACUGGAACUGAAACACGGUCCAGACUCCUACGGGAGGCAGCAGUGGGGAAUUUUGCGCAAUGGGGGAAACCCUGACGCAGCAACGCCGCGUGGAGGAUGAAGCCCCUAGGGGUGUAAACUCCUUUCGAUCGGGACGAUUAUGACGGUACCGGAUGAAGAAGCACCGGCUAACUCUGUGCCAGCAGCCGCGGUAAUACAGAGGGUGCAAGCGUUGUUCGGAAUUAUUGGGCGUAAAGGGUGCGUANGCGGUGCGGUAAGUCUGUUGUGAAAUCUCCGGGCUCA